AAUAGUCCUGUAAGUGAAACGAGAAGACCACGAGUUAUGAUCCAGAGUACCACGAGACACGUGAAACCUUGUGGGAAGCAGGGAGGACCACCUCCCAAGGCUAAAUACUACCUGAUGACCGAUAGUGAAGCAGUACCGUGAGGGAAAGGUGAAAAGAACCCCGGGAGGGGAGUGAAAUAGAACCUGAAACCGUGUGCCUACAACCGCUCAGAGCCCCUUAUGAGGGUGAUGAGGUGCUUUUUGUAGAACGAGCCAACGAGUUACGGUAUGUAGCAAGGUUAAGUACUUAAGGUACGGAGCCGAAGGGAAACCGAGUCUGAAUAGGGCGACUAGUUGCAUGCCGUAGACCCGAAACCGGGUGACCUAUCCAUGGCCAGGUUGAAGCGAGGGUAAAACCUCGUGGAGGACCGAACCACGUUGCUGUUGAAAAAGCAUGGGAUGAGCUGUGGAUAGCGGAGAAAUUCCAAUCGAACCCGGAGAUAGCUGGUUCUCUCCGAAAUAGCUUUAGGGCUAGCGUCGAGUAUGAGUAGUGGAGGUAGAGCACUGAAUGGGCUAGGGGGCAUAGCGCUUACCGAACCUUAUCAAACUCCGAAUGCCACAUACUUUGAGCUCGGCAGUCAGACUACGAAUGAUAAGAUCCGUGGUCAAAAGGGAAACAGCCCAGAUCGUCAGCUAAGGUCCCAAAGUGUAAGUUAAGUGGGAAAGGAUGUGAGAUUUCUAAGACAACUAGGAUGUUGGCUUAGAAGCAGCCAUUCAUUAAAAGAGUGCGUAAUAGCUCACUAGUCGAGAGAUCUUGCGCCGAAAAUGUAACGGGGCUAAACUUACCACCGAAGCUACGGGCUUGAACUUAGUUCAAGCGGUAGGAGAGCGUCGUAACCGGGCUGAAGUCGUACCGUAAGGAGCGGUGGACUGGUUACGAGUGAGAAUGUUGGCAUCAGUAGCGAGAUGUGGGUGAGAAUCCCACAGGCCGAAAACCUAAGGUUUCCUCAGGAAGGUUCGUCCGCUGAGGGUUAGUCGGGACCUAAGCCGAGGCCGAAAGGCGUAGGUGAUGGACAACUGGUUGAUAUUCCAGUACCACUACCAUCGUUAUUAUCGAUGGCGUGACGCAGGAGGAUAGUGUGUGCUAGCUAUUGGAUGCUAGUCUAAGCGUUUAGGCAGUGAGAGUAGGCAAAUCCGC
rnacentral:rRNA from 1 species